ensembl:lncRNA
CGGCCUUCUUCCAGGGCUCCGGCUCGGCCCGCUGCUCGCGCCUGCGCGCAGGCCACGGAUCCGCCUCCGCGCGCGCCCUGCCCCCCACACGCCCUCGCUCGAACACACACUUCGCCUCUGUGACCCCGCCCCUCACCGGCCAGCUGCGCUGGGGGCCCUCCCCCACCUCGCCUGGGAGGGUGGUGACCCCCGACCCCCCACAAAGCACAACACCCCCCAAACAGUGGGGAGAAGCGCCCCGGUCCCCUUCAACCGCCCUCUGCCCCAGUCAGCCCGUCACAGUCACACAACCUGAGGGCCGGGCGGCCUGGGCGAGGGCAGCCGUUGCCCGCCUCAAAGCGGGGGUCUCCCGGGGUCAGGCCUCUGGGCCGGGUCGGCCAGACUACCCAGGGAGAGGGGGCGCAGGGAAGGGGCACCUUCCCGCCGGCUGCCCUCCCCUCGCGCGCCCGCCGCUGGGCCGAGGCCGGCCUGCCCGCCAUCCCCGGGCAGGCCCUUGGCGCCCCCGCCACGGGGCCCGUCCGCCCUCGGCUCGGGGGGCUGCUUGGUGCAGCAGCCCGGCCCCGCCUCACCCACUCCUCGCCGCUCCAAAGGGGCAGGAAACGGGAGUAGCAUGUCUGUCCUGGGCUCGGCUCCCCUGGGGGGAGCUCCGGGCGCUUGACAAGGGCGUCCACAGGUACCAGGCUCGGGAGUGGUCGCCGCGACGGCCCGGGGGCGUUGGCGGCCGGCGCGCCCACCGCGGGCCCGAGGCGCCCGGGGAGGUGGCCCUGGAAGCCCCCGCUCCUCGGCCACGCUCAGGUUUCCGCAGCGCCCGUGCCCCCGGCGGCCCGGGUGGGACGUGACCCCGCCCCCGGCGAGUCGGGGCGCCCCCCACGGAGGGGUGCGCGAGCCGUCCUCGGCCCCCGGGCCGACCCCGCCGCCCCGGGCCGCGGCGGGCGCGGGAGGCCCGGCCGGGAAGAUGUCGUCUCUCGGUGCGCGCAGCUUCACGCGAGGGUCAGCGACGGGGCAGCGGCCGCCGAGCCGUGCCAGCCCUGCCCACGAACGGGCUCCCGCGGCUCGACAGCUGCCCGACGGGCUUGCAGGCUGGGGACGUCGUCGGAGCCCGGCCGGAGGAUUGUUGUGGAGUCAAAUGGACUAAUCAACAAUGUCCUAUGGAAGCUGGAAGACAAUAUAUUUAGAAAGGAUUGCUGGUUCUCUUAUUUCUUUUUAUUUAUUCUCCUAUAAGAAAGAUUUGUUUUGUUACCGAGUACCUUGUGCUUAACACUAAAUUAAGUGUUUGGACGGAAAAGGAGAUUUGAAAAAUUAGAAAGCAUGGAUUUUACUCUUGAAGACUUUGCAUCAUGGAAGAGAUGCCAGGAAGACGUGACAUACUAAGAUAGUGGUGGUCAUGACAAUGAAUUGCUGGAAAAUAAUGUAGGC